GAAGGAAGAGGAGAGAGACCUGGUGCUAUACCGGAGCGUGCGUGCACCACGGAAAACGCCCGCGCCCCUCCGCGCUCCGCUGCGCCUCUGGCCCCGCCGGCGCCCCCCGCGACGCCUGCGCACCGCGCCUACCUUUGUUGUGGGGGUGUAAUUAAGUUAGAAAAGGAUGCACAUACUAUUGACGUAAUACCGGAAGUAAUCGAGAUCAGGCGAGGUUGCGCGAACGGAAUUUUGUUCUGUGGUUCCGCCGAAUCCAUUGGGCCAGUCGAACGCGAGCCGCGGAUCCGAAAGUAAUCCAGUUACGACAUCGAGCACAAAACACAGUAAUCUAAACGUGAACGAACCACAAACACACACACACUCUACCGCAGAGAAGACAACAAUAGCCAAGGACCCAAAGUCCUCGAGUCCGUGCAGGAAGAGGAAGCAGCCUUUUUAUUAUAUUUUUUUUUUUUUUGGAUUUUCUUUCUUUUUUAAUUUCGUCUUCAUCUCAACCGCAACGCUCCUCGAAGCAUAUCUCCUCUGACUUUGGCGUUUCUUCGUCAGCUUUAUUAUCAGGUUUGUGUUAUAUGAUUCACCGUCGCCACGCCAGUCUUCGACCUUCCGUGUAUAUUCUUUCAUUUCUUUUCUUCAUUCCGGGGGCCGCUUUUGCCAACUUGAAAUUUUGCCCUCCCGUUUAUUUUAGAAUUGGGGUGAGCAAAGUUUCAGGUGUGUGAAAGCGCUAUGCCCGCAUUCAACAUCAUCGACAACAACAACAGAAGCA